rnacentral:lncRNA from 1 species
UUUUCACACCCAAAAAUUUCCUCCCAGCCAAAUUCCUCUUCCAAUUUCAAACUCCCCCUAAAUUUUUUUGCUUGUAUUCCUCGCCUUCCAUUUUCUUCCCUACAUCCAUUUCCUCUCAAUUGGAUCCACUCAAUCUUUUCACACACCCCUUCAACUCAAAAACCUAGCUCCAGGUCCAGAAUAACAAAGCAAGUAUAUGUCUUAAAGCUCCGACCUGAACCGCCAUCCGAAACUCGACGCGUGACCAGUUAGUUUUUGCCAAAAUGAGUUAUUUGAUUGAAAAAAAAAUCUAUUUAGGGUUCCCAGCCAGAGAUAUUCUGUAAGAAGCGAUGGUGGAGUAAAUGAGCAGAAGUUGAAGACGGCUCAUGAGAGGAAUCUGGACAAGCUUAAGCUUCUUCCAAAGGUAGUCAACUUGAAGACAACAAGAAAGCUAUGAAGAUCCAGGCCUUCAGCUUCUUUUGACAAAUAUACAGAAGUAGAACAUCUUGAAGGUGAUAGUAGAUACUGUGCUGGACCACAUGGGUUACAUGUUGGAGUCAUCUUUUAAAUUUAUGUAUUUAGAACUUUUUGUUAUUUAAUUAUUGUGGUCUUUUACAAUUCAAUCAUGCGUUGUCGUUUGCAGGAUGCAGAGAAUCAUCUCAUGUUCAUUGAUUUCCCCCUGUUUAUCAACUUCAGUUAAAGCGUUUUGAAUAUGAUUCCAUUAGAGAUACAAUGGUGAAGGGGGAGCACAUGACGGGUAAUUAUGAUCACGUGAAGAAGGACAACAGUGGGGGAGCACAUGACGGGUUGAGUAUAUUCAGUUGGCUGAUGUAGCGACAAUAAGUAGUAAGUGUUGGGAACUAUGAAGUGGAAGUAUGACUACUAAGAAAGCGUUAACACAAUGAUUAUUUAACUCGCAUGAAGAUUGUGAAAGAGAUUCAUGAACACAAUGAAGUUUUGAGUUUUUAUUCAUACACUUGUUAGUUUAUUUGGGUUAUAUGUUUGAUCAUUAGACUUAGAUCGACACUUAUUAGCCAUUUGGAAUUUUUGGAAGAUUGAUUGAACUUUUAUUUGAAGUGAUUAUUUUAUGAUU